CAACUUUUCGCAUCGCAAUGUUUGCAGAGAACGUUUAAUAUAUUAGAGUUGUGUAUAUAUAUAAUGUAUUAUACGAUCUCUGAGCAAAAGAAAAGUUUGGACAGAUUCCGUGACGCUCCUAUUCCCUAAGUGCUACAAUAAGAGGAAGGAUGAGUUCCUGCAUGCGCGCAAGAAAAAGUUCCCCUAUGAAAACGUCUUGGAGGACAUGAUAUUUUAAGGGUUUGCGGAUACAACGGUGAAGACGGCUGCUAUUGUAGCAAAAAUGCGAACGCUUUCGAAUGCGUAUAAAAACAGCGAAAGAUAAUUAGACCAGAACUUCUCCGUAUGCAAUACCGUACAUGUCGGAAAUGGACGAAAUUUUUGGCCAAAGUUGCGCAUUGUCCAACAACCACAUCAUAAACAUUGGAACUGAUCCUCUAGAAAAGAAAAGGUGCAGAAGAAAAGGGGAAGUUCUACGCGAAUAUACAAAGUAAAAUGCGGGAUUUGGUGGAAAAACGAGAUCUCCAGAUAGAAAUCAGAAAAAAAACUAAACAUAGAGGAAGAAAAUCUAAAACUUCCAUAGCGGUGUGUUAUGAAUAAAAGAUAGCAAAAUUAAUUGCUUCUUCAACCAAUAGAUAUUGUUUUAUUUCAUUGAAU